GCCGUAGGUGAACCUGCGGAAGGAUCAUUACCGAGUGAGGGCCCUUUGGGUCCAACCUCCCACCCGUUUUUAUUUUACCUUGUUGCUUCGGCGGGCCCGCCUUUACUGGCCGCCGGGGGGCUCACGCCCCCGGGCCCGCGCCCGCCGAAGACACCCUCGAACUCUGUCUGAAGAUUGAAGUCUGAGUGAAAAUAUAAAUUAUUUAAAACUUUCAACAACGGAUCUCUUGGUUCCGGCAUCGAUGAAGAACGCAGCGAAAUGCGAUACGGAAUGUGAAUUGCAAAUUCAGUGAAUCAUCGAGUCUUUGAACGCACAUUGCGCCCCCUGGUAUUCCGGUGGGCAUGCCUGUCCGAGCGUCAUUGCUGCCCUCAAGCCCGGCUUGUGUGUUGGGCCCCGUCCUCCGAUUCCGGGGGACGGGCCCGAAAGGCAGCGGCGGCACCGCGUCCGGUCCUCGAGCGUAUGGGGCUUUGUCACCCGCUCUGUAGGCCCGGCCGGCGCUUGCCGAUCAACCCAAAUUUUUAUCCAGGUUGACCUCGGAUCAGGUAGGGAUACCCGCUGAACUUAAGCAUAUCAAUAAGCGGAGGA
rnacentral:sRNA from 1 species